rnacentral:rRNA from 1 species
GAUAAACGCUGGCGGCGCACAUAAGACAUGCAAGUCGAACGGACUUAACUCAUUCUUUUAGAUUGAGAGCGGUUAGUGGCGGACUGGUGAGUAACACGUAAGCAACCUGCCUAUCGGAGGGGAAUAACAGUGAGAAAUCAUUGCUAAUACCGCAUAAGCUAGUAGCAUCGCAUGAUGUAGCUAGAAAAGGAGUAAUCCGCUGAUAGAUGGGCUUGCGUCUGAUUAGCUAGUUGGUGGGGCAACGGCCUACCAAGGCGACGAUCAGUAGCCGGACUGAGAUGUUGAACGGCCACAUUGGGACUGGGAUACGGCCCAGACUCCUACGGGAGGCAGCAGUCGGGAAUAUUGCGCAAUGGAGGAAACUCUGACGCAGUGACGCCGCGUAUAGGAAGAAGGUUUUCGGAUUGUAAACUAUUGUCGUGAGGGAAGAAAUUGACAGUACCUCAGGAGGAAGCUCCGGCUAACUAUGUGCCAGCCGCCGCAGUAA